GGGUUGUGAGGUUAAGCGACUAAGCGUACACGGUGGAUGCCUUGGCAGUCAGAGGCGAUGAAGGACGUGCUAAUCUGCGAUAAGCGUCGGUAAGGUGAUAUGAACCGUUAUAACCGGCGAUUUCCGAAUGGGGAAACCCAGUGUGUUUCGACACACUAUCAUUAACUGAAUCCAUAGGUUAAUGAGGCGAACCGGGGGAACUGAAACAUCUAAGUACCCCGAGGAAAAGAAAUCAACCGAGAUUCCCCCAGUAGCGGCGAGCGAACGGGGAGCAGCCCAGAGCCUGAAUCAGUGUGUGUGUUAGUGGAAGCGUCUGGAAAGGCGCGCGAUACAGGGUGACAGCCCCGUACACAAAAAUACACAU
rnacentral:rRNA from 1 species